rnacentral:rRNA from 1 species
AUUGAACGCUGGCGGCAGGCUUAACACAUGCAAGUCGAACGCCCCGCAAGGGGAGUGGCAGACGGGUGAGUAACGCGUGGGAAUCUACCCAGAUCUUCGGAACAACUGAGGGAAACUUCAGCUAAUACCGGAUACGCCCUACGGGGGAAAGAUUUAUCGGUUCUGGAUGAGCCCGCGUUGGAUUAGCUAGUUGGUGAGGUAACGGCUCACCAAGGCGACGAUCCAUAGCUGGUCUGAGAGGAUGAUCAGCCACACGGGGACUGAGACACGGCCCAGACUCCUACGGGAGGCAGCAGUGGGGAAUAUUGGACAAUGGGCGAAAGCCUGAUCCAGCCAUGCCGCGUGAGUGAUGAAGGCCUUAGGGUUGUAAAGCUCUUUCAGUAGGGAAGAUAAUGACGGUACCUACAGAAGAAGCCCCGGCUAACUUCGUGCCAGCCGCCGCGGUAAAAC